rnacentral:rRNA from 1 species
GAUGAACGCUGGCGGCGUGCCUAAUACAUGCAAGUCGAGCGAACAGACGAGGAGCUUUCUCCUCUGACUUUAUCGGCGGACGGGUUAUUAACACGUGGUUAACCUACCUAUAAGACUGGGAUAACUUCGGGAAACCGGAGCUACUACCGGAUAAUAUAUUGAACCGCAUGGUUCACUCGUGAAAGUCGGUUUUUCUUUCACUUAUAGCUGGCUCAGCGCCGCAUUAGCUAGUUGGUAAGGUAACGGCUUACCAAGGCAACGAUGCGUAGCCGACCUGAGAGGGUGGUCGGGCAGACUGGAAGAGAGACACAGUCGAGACACCGACAGGAGGCAGCAGUAGGGAAUCUUACGGGAUGGGGGAAAGCGGGACAUAGGAAAGCCGGGGGAGGGAUGAAGGACUAAGGAUCGGAAAACGAUGAUAGUAGGGGAGAAGAAAUGUGUAAGUAACUAGGAACGUAUUGACGGUACCGAAUGAAAAAGCCACGGCUAACUACGUG